rnacentral:tRNA from 1 species
CGGGCCGUAGCGCAGCUUGGCUAGCGCGCUUGCUUGGGGUGCAAGAGGUCGGGAGUUCAAAUCUCCCCGGUCCGAC